UGGCUCAGGAUGAACGCUAGCUACAGGCUUAACACAUGCAAGUCGAGGGGCAGCAUUUCAGUUUGCUUGCAAACUGGAGAUGGCGACCGGCGCACGGGUGAGUAACACGUAUCCAACCUGCCGAUAACUCGGGGAUAGCCUUUCGAAAGAAAGAUUAAUACCCGAUGGUAUAAUCAGACCGCAUGGUCUUGUUAUUAAAGAAUUUCGGUUAUCGAUGGGGAUGCGUUCCAUUAGGCAGUUGGUGAGGUAACGGCUCACCAAACCUUCGAUGGAUAGGGGUUCUGAGAGGAAGGUCCCCCACAUUGGAACUGAGACACGGUCCAAACUCCUACGGGAGGCAGCAGUGAGGAAUAUUGGUCAAUGGGCGCAGGCCUGAACCAGCCAAGUAGCGUGAAGGAUGACUGCCCUAUGGGUUGUAAACUUCUUUUAUAUGGGAAUAAAGUUUUCCACGUGUGGAAUUUUGUAUGUACCAUAUGAAUAAGGAUCGGCUAACUCCGUGCCAGCAGCCGCGGUAAUACGGAGGAUCCGAGCGUUAUCCGGAUUUAUUGGGUUUAAAGGGAGCGUAGGUGGACAGUUAAGUCAGUUGUGAAAGUUUGCGGCUCAACCGUAAAAUUGCAGUUGAUACUGGCUGUCUUGAGUACAGUAGAGGUGGGCGGAAUUCGUGGUGUAGCGGUGAAAUGCUUAGAUAUCACGAAGAACUCCGAUUGCGAAGGCAGCUCACUAGACUGCAACUGACACUGAUGCUCGAAAGUGUGGGUAUCAAACAGGAUUAGAUACCCUGGUAGUCCACACAGUAAACGAUGAAUACUCGCUGUUUGCGAUAUACAGUAAGCGGCCAAGCGAAAGCAUUAAGUAUUCCACCUGGGGAGUACGCCGGCAACGGUGAAACUCAAAGGAAUUGACGGGGGCCCGCACAAGCGGAGGAACAUGUGGUUUAAUUCGAUGAUACGCGAGGAACCUUACCCGGGCUUAAAUUGCAACAGAAUAUAUUGGAAACAGUAUAGCCGUAAGGCUGUUGUGAAGGUGCUGCAUGGUUGUCGUCAGCUCGUGCCGUGAGGUGUCGGCUUAAGUGCCAUAACGAGCGCAACCCUUAUCUUUAGUUACUAACAGGUUAUGCUGAGGACUCUAGAGAGACUGCCGUCGUAAGAUGUGAGGAAGGUGGGGAUGACGUCAAAUCAGCACGGCCCUUACGUCCGGGGCUACACACGUGUUACAAUGGGGGGUACAGAAGGCGGCUACCUGGUGACAGGAUGCUAAUCCCAAAAACCUCUCUCAGUUCGGAUCGAAGUCUGCAACCCGACUUCGUGAAGCUGGAUUCGCUAGUAAUCGCGCAUCAGCCAUGGCGCGGUGAAUACGUUCCCGGGCCUUGUACACACCGCCCGUA
rnacentral:rRNA from 1 species